GUUAAAAAGCUCGUAGUUGGAUUUCUGUUGAGGAUGGGCAGUCCGCACUACGUGCGUGUAUCUGUUACAGCCUCGGCAUCCUCAUGAAGAACAGUGCUGCUCUUAAUUGCGUGGUCUGGAAUUCAUGACUUUUACUUUGAGGAAAUUAGAGUGUUCACUGCAAGCAAUCGCUUUGAAUACAUUAGCAUGGAAUAAUAAUAUAGGACCUUGGUACUAUUUUGUUGGUUUCUAGAACUAAGGUAAUGAUUAAUAGGGAUAAUUGGGGGCAUUCGUAUUAACGCGUCAGAGGUGGAAUUCUUGGAUUGCGUUACGACGAACUACUGCGAAAGCAUUUGCCAAGGAUGUUUUCAUUGAUCAAGAACGAAAGUAUGGGGAUCGAAGACGCUUAGAUACCGUCGUAGUCUAUACCAUAAACUAUGCCGACUAGAGAUUGGAGGUCGUUUUUUUAUGACUCCUUCAGCACCUUAUGAGAAAUCAAAGUCUUUGGGUUCCGGGGGGAGUAUGGUCGCAAGGCUGAAACUUAAAGGAAUUGACGGAAGGGCACCACCAGGAGUGGAGCCUGCGGCUUAAUUUGACUCAACACGGGAAAACUUACCAGGUCCAGACAUAGUAAGGAUUGACAGAUUGAUAGCUCUU
rnacentral:rRNA from 1 species